CACAGAGGGAAAAAAACAACGCGCCUCUAUUGUUGAGGGUGGCUUGUACCUGGGCCGCGAAGGUAAUGCGUGGAGAAGCAGUGUCGCUUAUACAAGAUGUUGGAGGAAUUUACCAUAUUAUUAAAGGCAAAAAAAAAAAUCCCCUUUCAAGAAUAAAGUGUAUCAACUUACAACACAACAGACGGCAGAGGGAUAAGUGAAACAGACAAAAGACAAACAAGAUAAUAAUCUGUUUCCAAUCAGUUAAGCCCUGUAGAAUUUGUAAUACGCGGUUUGCAUAUUC